rnacentral:lncRNA from 1 species
GGAUGGGGAAUGUUGAACUAACUGUAUUGGAUUCUGCUGAUCGAGUUGUUUGUAAGCGAGUUCCGCCAGUUAAGCCAAUUGUCUUGUGUACUUUUUCUGAGGCAUCGCGCUGGUGAUAAGAUCAAUAGAUGCGACGGAAGCCAGCGGAGUACGAUGAUUAUGCGUUUGAACUGCUUCAAAGGCAUUGUCCAGGUUUUGGAUUAGUAAGUCUGCUACAAGGCGGUGGUAGCACUCUGGUCUUGCAGCAUUUCUUAC